UCCUAAUAAUAAGUAUAAUAUUGAAUAAAAAUAUCUUGUAAAAAAAGUUGAAAUAAAAAUCCACCAUACUUUAAACCAUAAAAAAUGGGAAUAAAAUCAUAAUUAUAUACUUCAAGAAAAUACCCAACAAAGAUCUCACGCAAUUACUCUUGAUUACAUAAUCACAAUAAUGACCUCCUUCAACUCAUCUUUGAAAAAAGCCACUCUAGGCAUGCAUGGGUUCCCUAGUCCUCCCACUGGCAGGCAUUAUGAGCAGUCUUCUUCGUGAUAUUAGCGGAGUUGUGUAUCCGCGUAAUUGUUUUUUCUUAUUUGGACGUUAGCCCUGUUAUUUAAUGGGGAAAAAAAAUCCGUAAGUCCUAAUAUUUUUUUGGUUUACCUGUUAAUCCACACUCUUUCUGAUUUUAUAUAUAUAUUGAGAAAUGAUAAAAAUAAAGUAAAAGUUAAAAGAAAGCAAAUUGAUCCUUUGGCUAGGUACCCCUAGCCAGCAUCUCCUCGAAUUCAAGAAUUGAUUUCUCUUUCUGAAGCUUUAUUUCUUGACGAAAAUUGGAUAUAAAUUCAUCAGCUCUCUCAUCCACUGGUCGCAACUGCGGUGAUUUAGCAACAAUUUCUCUCCAGGCAUCUUCAAUGCUAUACAACACCUUCUCCUUUUCUUUGUCUUCUUUUCUUGGUAAAACCUGCUCAUCAACCACCUGUUUAUCUCUGCUAUUAUUUUCUGCAUGGAAAUGCUUUGCCUGCAGGGAAGAUGUCGACGACCCUGCAGCCUCUUCAGAAUAAAGCUGGUCUAUGUAUAUGGCUGAGAAGUUGUUAUGAACAUGGUUCUUAUUGCUAUAAUAAUGUCCGUAAAAAUCUCUAUUGCAAUGGUAGCGGCGAUAGUGCGGUCUUGUUAAGGAAUGUUUCUUGAAGGGAUGAAAGAAACGGAUAGAGCAAUAAGAGAGGAGGCGACUACAGCUGGUCUUGAUGACCUUGAUGGCUUUAGAUAAGUUCAGGUUAUGGAAUUUUGACUCG
rnacentral:misc_RNA from 1 species